UACGAAGGGGGCUAGCGUUGCUCGGAAUCACUGGGCGUAAAGGGUGCGUAGGCGGGUCUUUAAGUCAGGGGUGAAAUCCUGGAGCUCAACUCCAGAACUGCCUUUGAUACUGAAGAUCUUGAGUUCGGGAGAGGUGAGUGGAACUGCGAGUGUAGAGGUGAAAUUCGUAGAUAUUCGCAAGAACACCAGUGGCGAAGGCGGCUCACUGGCCCGAUACUGACGCUGAGACACGAAAGCGUGGGGAGCAAACAGGG
rnacentral:rRNA from 1 species